ACAACAACAUUCGGACCGUCGGUCUACCGAGCAAUAUCACCCGCUCGAUGGAAGAUCUUCCCUAGACGUGUAUA
rnacentral:pre_miRNA from 1 species